rnacentral:rRNA from 1 species
CUACGUAGGGGGCGAGCGUUGUCCGGAAUGAUUGGGCGUAAAGGGCGCGUAGGCGGCCGCUUAAGUCUGGAGUGAAAGUCCUGUUUUCAAGAUGGGAAUUGCUUUGGAUACUGGGGGGCUUGAGUGCAGGAGAGGUUAUCGGAAUUCCCGGUGUAGCGGUGAAAUGCGUAGAGAUCGGGAGGAACACCAGUGGCGAAGGCGGGUAACUGGACUGCAACUGACGCUGAGGCGCGAAAGUGUGGGGAGCAAACAGGAUUAGAUACCCUGGUAGUCCACACUGUAAACGAUGAAUGCUAGGUGUAGGGGGUAUCGACCCCUUCUGUGCCGCAGUAAACACAAUAAGCAUUCCGCCUGGGGAGUACGGCCGCAAGGUUGAAACUCAAAUGAAUUGACGGGG